rnacentral:piRNA from 1 species
AAAGGCUUCAGGGUGACACUGAGAACUGGGU